rnacentral:rRNA from 1 species
UACGGAGGGGGCUAGCGUUGUUCGGAAUUACUGGGCGUAAAGCGUGCGUAGGCGGCCUUUCAAGUUGGGUGUGAAAGCCCGGGGCUCAACCCCGGAAAUGCGCCCAAGACUGUUUGGCUAGAGUCUCGGAGAGGUGAGUGGAACUCCCAGUGUAGAGGUGAAAUUCGUAGAUAUUGGGAAGAACACCAGUGGCGAAGGCGGCUCACUGGACGAGUACUGACGCUGAGACGCGAAAGCGUGGGGAGCAAACAGG